rnacentral:rRNA from 1 species
AUUGAACGCUGGCGGCAUGCCUUACACAUGCAAGUCGAACGGUAACGGGCCUUCGGGUGCCGACGAGUGGCGAACGGGUGAGUAAUAUAUCGGAACGUACCUUUCAGUGGGGGAUAACGUAGCGAAAGUUACGCUAAUACCGCAUAUUCUGUGCGCAGGAAAGCAGGGGACCUUCGGGCCUUGCGCUGAUUGAGCGGCCGAUAUCAGAUUAGCUAGUUGGUGAGGUAAAGGCUCACCAAGGCGACGAUCUGUAGCGGGUCUGAGAGGAUGAUCCGCCACACUGGAACUGGGACACGGUCCAGACUCCUACGGGAGGCAGCAGUGGGGAAUUUUGGACAAUGGGGGCAACCCUGAUCCAGCCAUGCCGCGUGAGUGAAGAAGGCCUUCGGGUUGUAAAGCUCUUUCGGCCGGGAAGAAAUCGUAUGGGCUAAUACCCUGUGCGGAUGACGGUACCGGCAUAAGAAGCACCGGCUAACUACGUGCCAGCAGCCGCAGUAAUAC